CUUACAGUCUAUAUGAAAUGAUAUUUUCAAAGAGCAAUUAUAAGAUUGAAUUAUUUCAUGUCAAUAAGAUAUGUUGAUUUGCUUCUUCUUCAGACAGAUCAAUCUGGAGGAUUAGAAAAUCAAUGAAACAUUAAAUGAAUGAAACAUUUAAUUAAGAAUGAAUUGAAACUGUAUCUCUAAGUCACACAACAAAACAUGUUUUCUGUGUUAGGAUUUUCCAUGAUAUGUUUGCUUAAAGGGCAUGAAUCUGAUUUUCAAAUUUGACUUUGUCAGGCAAACAUUGCAGAAAAGGCUCCUGAUGAUGGCCGCGUGUGCAUGGCUGAACCAUUCAAGUUCUGGGUUUUUCAGACGUCAACAAACACAGACAAAGGUUUGGUAAACCUGUAGAAGAGGAAGAGAUUCUGUCGCUCUUUCCUGACGAUAUAAUAAAGAUAAUAGAGGAUGAUGUGAUAGAAACUAAAUCGUUCCAACAGGAUGUACCUGCAGAACCCAAUGUCCUCAUUACCACUGAAACAGCACUUGAAGCCAAGGACGCUAAACUUAAGUGACCACCGGGUAUAUUCAAAUCUCAUCAGUCGUGUGUGUUCAUACAUGAUUUGUUCUGAUAUUUCCCGUUCUCGUCAGAUCUUUCAGUUGCUGAGGGCCGUUGAAGAUGCCACAGGAGUCAGGUCCUUCAUCCAGAAAGAGGAGAUCCAGAUCCUGGAUCAGGUUCUUGACGUCAUGCUCCCAGAAGUAAGAUUCUCUAUUUUGUUUGUGAAAUAUAAUUCUACUUUUAGGGGAUUUUGGUCAACAUUUCACCUUGAGUGUAGAAACCAUAGCAGUGCAUUCUUUGUUUUCUCACCAGGUAUAUUUGGAUCUUUUCCUUGUUUUUCAGAUCCUAAUCAGCAUCCUGACAAACCAGGGAGAGACGAGACUGCAGUUCUUCAUGUUGUAUGAUGGAGUCAUGAGGAAAACUUGAUCUAUAAAGAUGUUCCAGAGGGAGAUGGCAAAGCACUGGAAGAACCUCCUGAAACUUUUUCCCAACACAUCCAAGGACGACCAUGAUGGAGUCUCAACAAGUUCUGUCCAGGAUGUGAAGAACCGUCCAU
rnacentral:lncRNA from 1 species